rnacentral:rRNA from 1 species
GACGAAGGAUGCAAGCGUUAUUCGGAAUUAUUGGGCGUAAAGGGCGCGUAGGCGGCUUGGCGAGUGGAUGGUGAAAUCCCUCGGCUUAACCGAGGAACUGCCGUCCAAACUGCUUCGCUUGAGACCGGGAGAGGUGAGUGGAAUUCCCAGUGUAGCGGUGAAAUGCGUAGAUAUUGGGAGGAACACCAGUGGCGAAGGCGGCUCACUGGACCGGUACUGACGCUGAUGCGCGAAAGCGUGGGGAGCAAACGGG